rnacentral:rRNA from 1 species
UAUUCCCUCUGGCGGCGUGCCUAAUACAUGCAAGUCGAGCGAACGGACGAGAAGCUUGCUUUUCUGAUGUUAGCGGCGGACGGGUGAGUAACACGUGGAUAACCUACCUAUAAGACUGGGAUAACUUCGGGAAACCGGAGCUAAUACCGGAUAAUAUUUUGAACCGCAUGGUUCAAAAGUGAAAGACGGUCUUGCUGUCACUUAUAGAUGGAUCCGCGCUGCAUUAGCUAGUUGGUAAGGUAACGGCUUACCAAGGCAACGAUGCAUAGCCGACCUGAGAGGGUGAUCGGCCACACUGGAACUGAGACACGGUCCAGACUCCUACGGGAGGCAGCAGUAGGGAAUCUUCCGCAAUGGGCGAAAGCCUGACGGAGCAACGCCGCGUGAGUGAUGAAGGUCUUCGGAUCGUAAAACUCUGUUAUUAGGGAAGAACAUAUGUGUAAGUAACUGUGCACAUCUUGACGGUACCUAAUCAGAAAGCCACGGCUAACUACGUG